AGUCGAGCGGAGAAUUCCUUCGGGGAUUUUUAGCGGCGGACGGGUGAGUAACACGUGGGUAACCUGCCUAUCACAGGGGAAUAACAAUGAGAAAUCAUUGCUAAAACCUCAUAAGCUCCCAAUCGCAUGAUCAGUGAGAAAAUAUUUAUAGGUGAAAGAGGGGCCCGCGUCUGAUUAGCUAGUUGGUAGGGUAAUGGCCUACCAAGGCAACGAUCAGUAGCCGACCUGAGAGGGUGAUCGGCCACAUUGGGACUGAGACACGGCCCAAACUCCUACGGGAGGCAGCAGUGGGGAACAUUGCACAAUGGGGGAAACCCUGAUGCAGCAACGCCGCGUGAAGGAUGAAGGAUUUCGGCUCGUAAACUUCUUUAGGCAGGGAAGAAAAAAAUGACGGUACCUGCAGAAUAAGCACCGGCUAAAUACGUGCCAGCAGCCGCGGUAAUACGUAUGGUGCAAGCGUUAUCCGGAAUUACUGGGUGUAAAGGGUGAGUAGGCGGUUAGAUAAGUCAUAUGUGAAAGCCCCGGGCUCAACCUGGGGAUUGCAUAAGAAACUGUCUGACUAGAGUACAGGAGAGGUAAGCGGAAUUCCUAGCGUAGCGGUGAAAUGCGUAGAUAUUAGGAAGAACACCAGUGGCGAAGGCGGCUUACUGGACUGAACUGACGCUGAGUCACAANNNNNNNNNNNUCGAGAGAUUCGGUGCCGCAGCUAACGCAAUAAGCACUCCACCUGGGGAGUACGAUCGCAAGAUUGAAACUCAAAGGAAUUGACGGGGGCCCGCACAAGCGGUGGAGCAUGUGGUUUAAUUCGAAGCAACGCGAAGAACCUUACCAAGGCUUGACAUCCCUUUACCGGUGUAGAGAUACACCUUCCCUUCGGGGAAAGGUGACAGGUGGUGCAUGAUUGUCGUCAGCUCGUGUCGUGAGAUGUUGGGUUAAGUCCCGCAACGAGCGCAACCCUUAUCUUUAGUAGCCAGUGGGUAAUGCCAGGCACACUAGAGAGACUGCCGUGGAUAACACGGAGGAAGGUGGGGAUGACGUCAAAUCAUCAUGCCCCUUAUGUCUUGGGCAACACACGUGCUACAAUGGGCGAUACAAAGUGAAGCAAAGCCGCGAGGUGGAGCAAAGCACAAAAAAACGCCCUCAGUUCGGAUUGUAGUCUGCAACCCGACUACAUGAAGUUGGGAUCGCUAGUAAUCGCGAAUCAGCAUGUCGCGGUGAAUACGUUCCCGGGCCUUGUACACACCGCCCGUCACACCAUGGGAGUUGGAAGCGCCCGAAGUCUGUGACCUAACCGUAAGGAAGGAGCAGCCGAAGGUGAUAUCAGCGACUAGGGUGAAGUCGUA
rnacentral:rRNA from 1 species